GACGAACGCUGGCGGCGUGCUUAACACAUGCAAGUCGAACGAGAAUCUGUGGAAAGAGGAUUCGUCCAAUUGAAGCAGAGGACAGUGGCGGACGGGUGAGUAACGCGUGAGGAACCUGCCUUUCAGAGGGGGACAACAGUUGGAAACGACUGCUAAUACCGCAUGACACAUAGGCGUCGCAUGGCACUUAUGUCAAAGAUUUAUCGCUGAAAGAUGGCCUCGCGUCUGAUUAGCUAGUUGGUGAGGUAACGGCCCACCAAGGCGACGAUCAGUAGCCGGACUGAGAGGUUGAACGGCCACAUUGGGACUGAGAUACGGCCCAGACUCCUACGGGAGGCAGCAGUGGGGAAUAUUGGGCAAUGGGCGCAAGCCUGACCCAGCAACGCCGCGUGAAGGAAGAAGGCUUUCGGGUUGUAAACUUCUUUUGUCAGGGACGAGUAGAAGACGGUACCUGACGAAUAAGCCACGGCUAACUACGUGCCAGCAGCCGCGGUAA
rnacentral:rRNA from 1 species